UACGUAGGGUGCGAGCGUUGUCCGGAAUUAUUGGGCGUAAAGAGCUCGUAGGCGGUUUGUCACGUCUGCUGUGAAAUCCCGAGGCUCAACCUCGGGCCUGCAGUGGGUACGGGCAGACUGGAGUGCGGUAGGGGAGAUUGGAAUUCCCGGUGUAGCGGCGGAAUGCGCAGAUAUCAGGAGGAACACCGGUGGCGAAGGCGGCGACCUGGGUCGACACUGACGCUGAGGCGCGAAAGCGUGGGGAGCAAACAGG
rnacentral:rRNA from 1 species